rnacentral:rRNA from 1 species
GUCUACGGCCAUACCACCGUGAAUGUGCCCGAUCUUGUCUGAUCUCAGAAGCUAAACAGGGUUGGGCCUGGUUAGUACUUGGAUCGGAGCUAUGAAUU